GAAAAAAAGAGAAUAAAAAAAAAAAAAAAAGAAAAUUCGAAAAAAAAACAAAUUUGUUCGGGGAAAUCGACAAAACUUUCUUCUUUCUUUUUUCUUUCUUUUAAUUUCUCAAAAAUGUCAGCAAAUGGAAACAAAAAACAAAAAACAACAGGUAAAGUUCAUCUUUGGUUAAGAGCUGAAGUGAAACCUCA
rnacentral:ribozyme from 1 species